rnacentral:rRNA from 1 species
AUUGAACGCUGGCGGCAGGCCUAACACAUGCAAGUCGAACGAGUGGCGGACGGGUGGCUAAUGUCUGGGCAUCUGCGUGAUGGAUGGGGAUAACUACUGGACACGGUUGCUACUACCGCAUACCAUCGGAUGUGCCCGGAUGGGAUUAGCUAGUGGGUGGGGUAACGGCUCACCUAGGCGACGAUCCCUAGCUGGUCUGAGAGGAUGACCAGCCACACUGGAACUGAGACACGGUCCAGACUCCUACGGGAGGCAGCAGUGGGGAAUAUUGCACAAUGGGCGAAAGCCUGAUGCAGCCAUGCCGCGUGUAUGAAGAAGGCCUUCGGGUUGUAAAGCACUUUCAGCGGGGAGGCGUUACUCGCAGAAGAAGCACCGGCUAACUCCGUGCCAGCAGCCGCGGUAAUUC